UACGGGGGGGGCAAGCGUUGUUCGGAAUUACUGGGCGUAAAGGGCUCGUAGGUGGCCAACUAAGUCAGACGUGAAAUCCCUCGGCUUAACCGGGGAACUGCGUCUGAUACUGGAUGGCUUGAGAUUGGGAGAGGGAUGCGGAAUUCCAGGUGUAGCGGUGAAAUGCGUAGAUAUCUGGAGGAACACCGGUGGCGAAGGCGGCAUCCUGGACCAACACUGACACUGAGGAGCGAAAGUGUGGGGAGCGAACAGG
rnacentral:rRNA from 1 species